rnacentral:rRNA from 1 species
AUUGAACGCUGGCGGAAUGCUUUACACAUGUAAGUCGAACGGCAGCACGGGGCAACCUGGUGGCGAGUGGCGAACGGGUGAGUAAUACAUCGGAACGUGCCCAAUCGUGGGGGAUAACGUAGCGAAAGUUACGCUAAUACCGCAUACGAUCUACGGAUGAAAGCGGGGGAUCGCAAGACCUCGCGCGAGUGGAGCGGCCGAUGUCAGAUUAGGUAGUUUGGGUGGGGGUUAAAAGGCUCACCAAGCCAACGAUACUGUAAGCGGGUCUGAGAGGAUGAUCCGCCACACUGGAACUGAGACACGGUCCAGACUCCUACGGGAGGCAGCAGUGGGGGAAUUUUUGGACAAUGGGGGCAACCUGAUCCAGCCAUGCGCGUGA